CAGCUUGUUGGCGGGGUAAAAGCCCACCAAGGCGACGAUCCGUAGCUGGUCUGAGAGGAUGAUCAGCCACACUGGAACUGAGACACGGUCCAGACUCCUACGGGAGGCAGCAGUGGGGAAUAUUGGACAAUGGGCGCAAGCCUGAUCCAGCCAUACCGCGUGGGUGAAGAAGGCCUUCGGGUUGUAAAGCCCUUUUGUUGGGAAAGAAAUCCUGCCGGUUAAUAACCAGUAGGGAUGACGGUACCCAAAGAAUAAGCACCGGCUAACUUCGUGCCGGCAGCCGCGGUAAUACGAAGGGUGCAAGCGUUACUCGGAAUUACUGGGCGUAAAGCGUGCGUAGGUGGUUGUUUAAGUCUGCUGUG
rnacentral:rRNA from 1 species